AAAGAUUGUUAAAUGGUCAAUUAAUGUAGCACGUAAAAACAAAUUUACAUAUUGACUGAAUCGAUGCAAAGUAAGAGAUGAGAUUUGCCAAAGACAAAAAAUCAAGUGGCAAAGUUAAUAAAAGAAAAAAUGACUUCAUUUACACUAUUUCUUACUGGAAAGAUGAUGAAACUGAUAUUGAAGCUGCUGACUAUUGCAUGAAAAAGACCCAGCAUGCUGCUGAUGUUGUUUCUGUACUAAAACAUCAUCAACAUAUCUAUUAUGAGUUUUACAUUCAUCUCUCAUAUUUGGUAGUUGUCUGGUAUGAAUUUAUUUUUUAAAUUGUUUCCAGUUUCAUAAUUUUUUUUUUUAAUUUACUCAAAUUUUGAAAACAGUAAUUGCAUAUUUUUUCUUUUUUUUUUUUAGGUUUGGGGUGGGGGGCAUACGCCCCUCCCAUAAUAGAAACACCACUUGUAUACGUAAGAUCUUGUAUAACAUAAUUUUAUAUUGUAUACUAGUUUUACUCAUUUUAGUAAAGAUAAAUAUUUAUAAAA